UAAAUAAAUGAUAAGAGCCAUAAGAGUUCAAGAAAAACCCAAUUCACUAGACUAGACUCAUAGAGUUUAAGAAAAGCUUCUCCUUAAGAACAAGAGCCAAAGAAAAGAAAAGGAAACAUUGAUCCAAGAAAAAAUCGAAAUAUGCCUUUAGUGCAAAAGGGUAGACUUAGGAUCAUCAUUGGGUUUAGAGAUAGGACCAUCUACUUGUUAUUCACGGUUUAUGUCAUUGGGUAGAUGGGGUGCUAUUCUUGUAUGCAUAGGUUGGCACUUACCUUUAGCAUUCUUCUAAAGCUCAGUCCUUUUUCAUUGAGAGUCCCCUGCUACUAAAAUCUGAACCACUAAAAAGGGACCAUCUUUGUCUCAUAACCUGUCAUUAGCCAAAUGAGUUCACUAGCGAUGCAUAUCUUGAUUCAUGUUUUUGAACUUAAUGAAUGUUAAAGGGAUUGGUUGAUCUUGACGCAUUGUGCAUUUGAGUGUAGGUUUGGAUCAUAACAGAGCAUGGCUAAAGUUUUUGAGUAGAAACCGAUCACCUCGCAUAUUAGAACUGUUAGCUGGCACAUUGAUCUUAAUUGUCAUAUCUCAUGCUUUGGUUCUGAAUCCCCAACUUCAAACCUCUCCUUCUGCUUAUGUCUUCUUGUUUGCUUGAGGGCAAACAAAGACUAAGUUUGGGGGAGUUGAUAUGUCUAUAAUUUGCAUGAUUUAGGCAUUCAUUCUUCACCACUUUGUCAUUGUUUCAUCCACAUUUCAUCCCAUUAGGAGUCGUUUUAGUGUGUUUUACAUACUUAGGACGAUUUUGCAUUAGAGUACUCUAUCGCAGCCUCGGAGUCCUGCCAGGGCAAAUCACUCUAUCGCAACCCCGGAGAAGCAAGCAGCUCAGUUUCACUCAAUCGCGAAGCCGGAGGAAUCACCCCAUCAGAACCACUCGAUCACCACUCUAUCACCAGGAAGCCUAUCUGCUCAUUCUGCACUCAACCAGACAAGCUGAGAACAAAGAAGAGAAGAGAAGCCGAAGAAACCACUGGAUCACACCCUCAUGACAUCCACUCGAUCGCACUCGAUCACAAGGUCGCUGGACCAUUAAAUCUCGACUUCACUGCAUUUCACUCGAUCGCAAGACGGAGCCCCUGAAGCCCAGUUUGAUCAAUGACAUAUUCGGUCGCAGGAUCAUGACGUAAAGAUUCGCUAUAUAUUUAGUUUCCUUAUUUGUUUUAUUUCUCGCUUAUAUAAACUGCCUCUUAGGGUUUUCCCUAGGGCGUCAGCUAUUAUCCGCUAUUAUCCGUUUUUAUCUCGUUUUUACAUUUUCGCAACUUUGAUAGCCGCAGUGUUUCUCCUGCGACUUUGUAGUUUCGUUUUCAAGUAUUUGAUAUUUAGUUUUCGUUUAAGUCUUUCGUCAUUUCUGUUAUCAUGUUUUCAGUUGUUGCUUUGUUAUUGUCUUUGAUUAUAUCUGAGUAGUGAACUGUAUUUCUGAGGAUGGGAUAGAAUAGUUGUGGUUUACUUGGUCGUUUUAGGUGGUUGAGUUUAGAAUUCUAGAAUCCCUUCUGGAUUAGUUGCGCUUAUUGCUUAUUUCACUGGCUAAUGUGGAGUAUGAGUCCAGACGUCCAGCGCUCAGAAAGCGUUUAAUGGGCGUUGGAUCCUAUUAAUUCUAGAGAUAUCUGACUCUACCCCAAGGGAUUCGCUGUAGAGAGGGUAUUGACUUUAACAUGUUGAUUCGAUAAUGCCUGCUUAGUUAGAAAUCGCUAAAGGGAUUUAGGUCAGUGUCUAGCUUUGCUUGAGGAUUUCUAUCACGGGAGUGAAUUAAUCUGUUGUUGAACUUGUUGUCUAGGGAUAGCUUCUGUGAAGUUUUGUCAACCGCCUGAAUAGAUUAAGGAGACCACACUAUUCGAUUACCCCAUCCUUAGGAAUCGUUUAUCCAUUCGAUUGCCUGUUAUCAUUUCUGCUUUGUUAUUCACCUCCCUGCUAUUGUCAUUUCUGCUUUUAGUUUCAUUUCAUUUCUGUCAUUGCAUACUAGGACUGUUAGAACCAACCAACUUUCUGCUUGGCUUGACUUAGGGCUUUCUGAUCAUAUCUCAUCUGUUUGCAUCACACCGGAUUGGAUUGACAUCCUAAAAUACUACAACGACAAGAUAGUGUUUUAGGGAUUAAUUGAGUAAAAAUCCUACUAUCAUAGAUAAAAAAAGCAUUGAAAAUGGUGCAGCUGACCAUCUGUCAAGGAUGAGAAUUGAAGAACCCCUUCGAUAGACGAUUCAAUGCCAGUAGAGCAGCGCAUGGUUGUAGAUUUCUUCGGAAGGAGCUAUAGUGGGAAAGAGUUCCACCAACUGAACGCUGCUGAAGAAGGGUCUCCAUGGUAUGCUGAUCACGUCAAUUACUUGGAAGUUGAUUCAUGCCAGAGAAAAGGCAACAUCAGUAGAAGAAAUGAGAUGCCUCAGAAUCCAAUCUUGGAAGUUGAUAUCUUUGAUGUAUGGGGGAUUGAUUUUAUGGGUCCAUUCCCAUCUUCAUACGGUAACAAGUAUAUACUGGUCGCCGUAGACUACGUAUCAAAUAGAGUCGAAGCUAUUGCUAGUCCUACUAACGAUGCAAAAGUUAUGCUGAAGCUGUUCAAAACCAUAAUCUUCCCGAGAUUUGGAGUUCUCAGGGUAGUAAUCAGUGAUGGUGGGAAGCAUUUCAUCAACAAGGUUUUUGAGAACCUCUUGAAGAAGUAUGGAGUAAAGCACAAGGUCACCACUCCCUAUCAUCCACAGACGAGCGAGCAGGUUGAAAUCUCCAAUAGGGAGAUAAAAACAAUUCUGGAAAAGACUGUUGGGACUACAAGGAAAGACUGGUCUGCAAAGCUAGAUGAUGCAUUAUGGGAUAAUAGGACAGCCUUCAAGACCCCCAUUGGUACAACUCUUUUCAAUCUUCUCUAUGGAAAAUCAUGUCACCUACCUGUUGAGCUCGAGUACAAAGCAAUGUGGGCGGUAAAACUUCUGAACUUUGACAUAAAAACUACUGAGGAGAAGCGAUUGAUCCAACUCAGUGACCUCGAUGAGAUCCGUCUAGAAGCUUAUGAGAGCUCUAAAAUCUACAAGGAGAGAACCAAGCUUUUCCAUGACAAGAAGAUCAUCACUAAGGAUUUCCAGGUUGGUGAUCAGGUGCUGCUGUUCAACUCUCUCUUGAAAUUCUUUCCAGGAAAACUUAAAUCCAGAUGGUCUGGCCCCUUCUGUAUCACUGAGGUCCGUCCUUAUGGAGCAGUCACUCUAGCUGGUAAGAGUGGAGACUUCACAGUAAAUGGUCAAAGGCUCAAGAAAUACUUAGCAGAUCAAAUCCUUCCAGACGUGACAUCGGUUCAUCUCCAGGAACUUCUUGAUGAUUAAAGGAGUAAAAGAG
rnacentral:sRNA from 1 species